AGCUCAGUGGUUUGAGCGCGGUGCUGGCAACAAGGACAAACACCGAGGUCGCGGGUUCGAUUCCCGC
rnacentral:tRNA from 1 species